rnacentral:lncRNA from 1 species
UUUAUUGUUGAGGAUAGUUUUAGCUAUCCUGGGUUUUUUGUUAUUCCAGAUGAAUUUGCAAAUUAUUCUAUCUAACUCUCUGAAGAAUUUUGUAAUUUUGAUGGGGUUACAUUGAAUCUUUAGAUCGCUUUUGGUAAAAUGGCCAUUUUUACUAUAUUAAUCCUGCCAAUCCAUGGGAGGUCUUUCCAUCUUCUGAGAUCUUCUUCAAUUUCUUUCUUCAGAGGCUUGAAGUUCUUAUUGUACAGAUCUUUUACUUGCUUGGUUAAAGUGACACCGAGGUAUUUUAUAUUACUUGGGACUAUAAUGAAGGGUGUUGUUUCCCUAAUUUCUUUCUCAGCUUGUUUCUCUUUUGUGUAGAGGAAGGCUACUGACUUAUUUGAGUUAAUUUUAUACCCAACCACUUUGCUGAAGUUGUUUAUCAGCUUUAGUAGUUCUCUGGUAGAACUUUUGGGAUCACUUAAAUAUACUAUCAUAUCAUCUGCAAAUAGUGAUAUUUUGACUUCUUC